rnacentral:rRNA from 1 species
CCUACGGGGUGCAGCAGUGAGGAAUAUUGGUCAAUGGGCGCGAGCCUGAACCAGCCAAGUAGCGUGAAGGAUGACUGCCCUACGGGUUGUAAACUUCUUUUGUACAGGAGUAAAGUUAGCCACGUGUGCCUUUUUGUAUGUACCUUACGAAUAAGGAUCGGCUAACUCCGUGCCAGCAGCCGCGGUAAUACGGAGGAUCCGAGCGUUAUCCGGAUUUAUUGGGUUUAAAGGGGACGUAGAUGGGGUGGUGAGUCAGAUGUGAAAGUUCGCGGAUUAACCGUGAGAGUGCAUUUGAUACUGUAGGGCGUGAGAGCAGGAGAGGUAGGCGGAAUGCAUAGUGUAGCGGUGAAAUGCGUAGAUAUUACGCAGAACACCGAUUGCGAAGGCGGCAUGCCGGACGGCAACUGACGUUGAGGCACGAAAGCGUGGGUAGCAAACAGGAGUAGAUACCCUUGUAGUC